UACGAAGGGGGCUAGCGUUGCUCGGAAUCACUGGGCGUAAAGGGCGCGUAGGCGGAUCUUUAAGUCGGGGGUGAAAGCCCAGGGCUCAACCCUGGAAUUGCCUUCGAUACUGGAGAUCUUGAGACCGGAAGAGGUAAGUGGAACUGCGAGUGUAGAGGUGAAAUUCGUAGAUAUUCGCAAGAACACCAGUGGCGAAGGCGGCUUACUGGUCCGGUUCUGACGCUGAGGCACGAAAGCGUGGGGAGCAAACAGG
rnacentral:rRNA from 1 species